GUUUAAAGGCCAUCUACUGAUAGGCCACAGAUUUCUGUGGAAUUGGGGGAUGACAGAAGUAGGGAAGCAGUGGUUGGAGGGUGAAUGGGUGCUGACUCAUAAGAAAAGAUUUAAGGUGAGCUCUUUUUCAAUUGCCCUCUUUAAGGGCUUUAAGACAUAUGGCUAGGAAGAAGUUUGUUCUGAGCUUCCCCUACCUCUGCCAUGCAAAGGCCACACCACAGUGCAUUUAUCCAGUGCUCCUCAUGCUUUUGUUUGUGCCAUGGGAAUUUCCAUUCUUUGGUACGAUGACAAAUCAACACAGAUGCAAAUUCCACCCACUCUCAUGGGAAGAUGUUAUUAUUUCUAGGCACUGGGCAACAUGAUUGAAAAAAAAAAAAAAACAGUAUCCCAUGACAAUCAGGGUUCCAUUUUCUCUUAGUAUCUUUUGCAUCUGGUUAAUUUUUUUUUCAAAUAUAGAGGGAUUGGAAGAUACCACUGGGCCAUGUUUCAACUUUAGUUUGGGGAAGAUGGCAGCCAAAAGAGGGAGACCAAAAACCACCACUACUUUACCAGACAGCCCAGCUAAGGUAAUAAUUUCUACUGACUUUGUCGAUCCAUGGAGAAGAUGAGGGAACCAAGCAUAUGGAUUGAAGGUGCCCUAAAUGGUCAGUCCAGCUACAGUCUUGUUCCCAACCUCAACAGCCACAGGCAUGAUGUUUCUGGAUAAGCCAGGUGCUGAUGUGGCCAUAAAACCAGGGAUCCUACUGAAGCCCUUGUUAAGAAUGUCAUUAUAUAUAUAUAUAUAUAUAUAUAUAUAUAUAUAUAUAACACCAUUAUAUAUAUAACACCAAAAAUGAUAUGUCUAUCUAUAUUUUCCUUCCCCUUCAUUUAAAGGGCACGCAAAAGUUAUCAGUAAAUGAAAUCUAACAGCAACAAAUUUUGUUUCUAAGCCUUUAAACAAUGAUUGAAUUUUGAUGAAAAACUCCAUAAAAAACAUUUGCUACACCCCCUACACAAAAAUCAAGUUGAGCCAAAGCAUUUUGAUUUAAUGUGAUUAUCUUUUUCUGAAAUAUGAUACAAUGAAAUAAGGUUUGGGGUACCUAAAGUGUACACCGUGAUAAAUAAGUAAUCAACUAUAUUUAAAAUAUUUUCACGUAAUUCUGCCAUAAUUAGUCUAAAAUUUGGUACUCUUCUUUGUAUUGCAGUUUGCCUUUCCCUUUAAAACAAUGUAACCUUUUAUUUAAUUGAUGUGGUUUUUUAGAAGCUGUUUUUCUGUAGUUUUCUGGAUCUCUUCAAAUUUCAUAUGGAACCUUGGAGAGUCAGACUCCUUUCAGUAAAAAGCUUGGAAUUAAAAUCUCUACUCAUCUGUUGACCCCAGUGUGUAUCAAAGUACUCAUGUUGUUACAAGAGAUUUAAGUACCUGCUUUGAUUCUGAUCUUCUUUGCCCUUUCCUCCUCCUUCCCAAUCUCUCUCUACCUCCCUCUCCUCUCUCCUCUCUGUCUCUGUCUCAGCUUUUCUGUCUCUGUCUCAACUUCAGGAUUUUGAAAUGAGAUCUCUUAGUGUCAAUGUCAUUAUUGAACCAUGUGGGCUGUCCUCUGAUUGUUAAAAUUGGAAAGAGGAUUAAAUGAUAUUAAAAGAUGUGAAAUAUAUUAAAUGCAGCAUCCUUAGAAUAUGUUUGGUUGUGCAACCAAGACCUUUUAAUUUUCUUAUGAAAACUCUGAUGCUCUAAUUCUAUUACAAUUACAAAGAGAUAGUCUGUUCAAAAAGAGGAAAGCUGUAAGAGCAUAUGAAAAGCACUAAUAUAAUACCUUUAAAAGAACGCAUUUAAAGAUGCAAACAGUGACUUUGACUUUUUCAGGGUUAGGCAUUUGGAUUUACAUAUAUUAUAAUAAAAGAGAAAAUUUACUUUCA
rnacentral:lncRNA from 12 species